rnacentral:lncRNA from 1 species
UCAAAACUAAUCAAACCAUCUUAAGAAAAAAUUGGUGGCAGAACCUACCCUUAGCAUUAUUAUGCAUUUUAAAGCAAAUUGUAGCUAAAUAAGAACAAAAAACCAUACAAUCUUGAAGAAAAAAAGAAGUUUGUCUUACUCUGGACAUACACUAUUUCUAAAUUAAUUAUAUACAUUUCAAUAUGUCCAAGGUGAAAACUAAUCCAACCAUCUCAACAUGGUGACAAAACCUACUCUCAACAUA